UACAGAGGCCUCAAGCGUUGUUCGGAUUCAUUGGGCGUAAAGGGUGCGUAGGCGGUCGGGUAAGUCGGAUGUGAAAUCCUGGGGCUCAACCUCAGAACUGCAUUCGAUACUGCCUGGCUGGAGGAUUGGAGAGGAGAGUGGAAUUCACGGUGUAGCAGUGAAAUGCGUAGAGAUGUGGAGGAACACCGAUGGCGAAGGCAGCCCCCUGGGUUAACACUGACGCUCAGGCACGAAAGCGUGGGGAGCAAACAGG
rnacentral:rRNA from 1 species